rnacentral:rRNA from 1 species
AGCUAUCUAUAGGAUAUUAAAUAAAAAUUAUUUUUAAAGUGAAAAAUCUUUAAUACAAUAAAAAGACAAAAAGACCCUAUAGAGUUUUAUUCAUCACUAUAAAUAAAUAUAAAUGAAUUUAGUUGGGGCAACUAAUGAAAAAAGAAAUUUCUUUUUAUUAGCUAAAAAUAUAAUCAUUAAUUUAAUAAUAUAAAAUAAAUUACCUUAGGGAUAACAGCGUAACUUUUUUUGANAGUCCAAAUCGAAAAAAAAAAUUAC